GUGCGCCAUCAAUUCUGACAGCGGAGGAUGGAACCGCCCACUGUAACGCUUUACUCAGUGGCGUGUGGAGAAAUGAUUGCGCCAUGAAGACGCACUGGAAGGGUGAAUGUGAUGAUGCACAGCAUGGUAGCGGAAUGAACCCAAUUGCCACGACUGCACAAGCUGCUGAUUAUGAUUGGGCUGCGGCUUUCUGCACCAACUGGGGUCUUGGAGUUGACUUUGAAGGGAGACGUCUGUAGAGUGCAUUAUAGUAGUCCAGUCUUGAUGUUACCAUGCUGUGGAUCCAGGCUGCCAGAUCAGCUAUGUCAAGUUUUCACAUUUCAGAUCCAACAUGGACUAAGAUGAAUAGCAGCAGAAGGCAAAUUCAAUGGUUGCAGUUUGAUAUAGACCUAAUG